CAAUUAAUUUAAAUUAAAAUUAAUUUAUUUUUCAAAAUUCAAUUUCAAUAAUCUAAAUAUAAUAGAGUAUAUUCAAUUAUAUAAUAAAAGUAACCCAUUUUUGCUUUCAUAAUUGUAACUGCACCUUGACCCUGACAUAAAGUUUAUUAAAGAUACAGAAAAUUUCCUAAAAGAACAGUUUACACCGCGGUUUACAAGAUUUUCAAUUUAAUAUAUGCAAGUAUUCAGUUAAUUGUUAUUUUUUUUAUAAUUUUAUGAAUUUUGGUGAAAUAAUAUUUGUUAUAAAUAUAAAUUUUAUAUGUCUGAUAAACUAUUAGUAUAAACUAGGAUUAGAUACCCUAUUAUUUAAAGUGUAAAUUAAAUUAACUUGAUUAUUAAUAGAUAUAAUCUUUAAAUUCAAAGAAUUUGGCGGUAAUUUAUCUUAUCAGAGGAACCUGUUUUAUAAUUGAUAAUCCACGAUAGAUUAUACUUCAUUAUGACUUGUAUACCGCUGUCAAGAAUGUUCUUUUAGGAAAUUUUCUGUAUCUUUAAUAAACUUUAUGUCAGGUCAAGGUGCAGUUACAAUUAUGAAAGCAAAAAUGGGUUACUUUUAUUAUAUAAUUGAAUAUACUCUAUUAUAUUUAGAUUAUUGAAAUUGAAUUUGAAAAUAAAUUAAUUUAAUUUAAUUAAUUGAAAUAAGCUCUAUAUUAUGCACAUAUCGCCCGUCACUCUCAUUUUAAGAUGAGAUAAGUCGUAACAAAGUAGCUGUACCGGAAGGUGUAGCUAGAAUGA
rnacentral:ncRNA from 1 species